rnacentral:rRNA from 1 species
GACGAACCGUGCGAACGUUGUUCGGAAUCACUGGGCUUAAAGGGCGCGUAGGCGGUCGGGCCAGUCCGGGGUGAAAUCCUGCAGCUUAACUGUAGAAGUGCCUUGGAUACUGCCCGGCUCGAGGGAGGUAGGGGUCUGUGGAACUUCUGGUGGAGCGGUGAAAUGCGUUGAUAUCAGGAGGAACGCCGGUGGCGAAAGCGGCAGACUGGACCUCUUCUAACGCUGAGGCGCGAAAGCUAGGGGAGCAAACGGG